rnacentral:rRNA from 1 species
CCUACGGGAGGCAGCAGUCGAGAAUCAUUCACAAUGGGGGAAACCCUGAUGGUGCGACGCCGCGUGGGGGAAUGAAGGUCUUCGGAUUGUAAACCCCUGUCAUGUGGGAGCAAAUUAAAAAGAUAGUACCACAAGAGGAAGAGACGGCUAACUCUGUGCCAGCAGCCGCGGUAAUACAGAGGUCUCAAGCGUUGUUCGGAAUCACUGGGCGUAAAGUGUGCGUAGGCUGUUUCGUAAGUCGUGUGUGAAAGGCGCGGGCUCAACCCGCGGACGGCACAUGAUACUGCGAGACUAGAGUAAUGGAAGGGGAACCGGAAUUCUCGGUGUAGCAGUGAAAUGCGUAGAUAUCGAGAGGAACACUCGUGGCGAAGGCGGGUUCCUGGACAUUAACUGACGCUGAGGCACGAAGGCCAGGGGAGCGAAAGGGAUUAGAUACCCUUGUAGUC